UCUUCAUUCCUCACACUCUCUCGCCGGUCAGUGAGGCGAGUGAGUGUGCGGAAUGAAGAGA
rfam:Pristionchus pacificus strain PS312 contig2950, whole genome shotgun sequence.